rnacentral:lncRNA from 1 species
GCAACACCUACGUCACAGGCUGUCCUGACAAUUAACAUGUGAGAAGUACUUAGAACACUGCUUGGCACAAUGUGCACCAAGUCCCCUCCAAGGAGAGACCCUGGGUAAUGAUGAUCUUUGGUGUCAACUAAGAUUCUUAAGAACUGGAUCCUCAUUGUGAUUCCUAUGUGACCUGAAGGACGUAUGAAAUUCACCAAAGUCUCUACCACAGACAUUCUCAGAUGGUCCUAAUAAAAAGAAGAAACCCAAACCAGAACUGGUGGUCCACAUUGUGAGAGUUGCUGAAUAUCAUCACAAAGCAAUAAUUAUCCAACAGCAUGCUUGGUGGCUCAACAUUCUGAAAGGCAAAUGUCAAGGGCAUAUAGUCUCAACCAUGUUGCUGAUGGGAGCUCA